AGAACAAAUCAAAUUUCAAAACAACCCAAAGCAAGACCAAACUCUCUGUGUCUCUACAGUUAUGGUUAGUGUUUGAUGAACAUUAGGAGGUAAUACCCAACAGGCCAACACAGCUUCUUUUAGAGACUUCCUUAAAGACCUUUUUUUUUUGUACCUCUUUGUUCAAACCCCACAAUAAUUUUCCAUGGUGUUUGUGUGUGUAUAGUACAGGACCACCACUAUCUGGGUUUCUCUCUCCCUGAUCAUUUCUCACUGUUGGUUUGGCUCCACCUCUUUCUGGGUUUCUCUCUCCCGGACCACUUCUCACUGUUGGCUUCCAUAAUUCUAUCAAGAGUUAUAAUCCAAGUGAGAGAGAAACAAAGGGUGGGAGAAAUGCUUGAUUACUAUCAGCAGCUUGCUGCUAGACCCUCUUAUCAAGAUUCCCUUAAGGUUCUUGAGGCUGAUAUUCAGCAUGCCAAUGUGCUGGCAGCUUCUAUUCCAAGAGGCAAGGGUGGUGCCUGCCUUCAAAUGAGAUUGGUUUACAAUCAUUUGGCACCCCUUUUACUGUUUUUGCUUCAGUGGAUGGAUUGCUCAUGUACUUGUCUACUUUCAAGUUAUUUAAACCUUUUUCAAAUAAUUAUAUACGAGGUGCGCCCUGAUGGAAAGCCAAAUUCCUCUUCAUGUGGAAGGAGAGCUACUAUCAAAGAAUUCUAUUCUGUUAUAUUACCAUCUCUUCAGCGUCUCAAUGCUGACUCAUCAGAGUUGGAUAUUACACAAGAGGAAGCUAGCGGCCUCAAGAUGGUUGUGAGGAAGAAGUUGGAAAAUAAGAGGAAGAUUUCAGAUGUGGACUUGGAUAGAGAAGAUGAGUGUGGCAUCUGCUUGGAGUCUUGCACUAAAAUGGUUGUGCCAGAUUGCUGCCACGCCAUGUGCAUCAACUGUUACCGCGACUGGAACACAAGGUCAGAAUCUUGCCCAUUUUGCCGGGGAAGUUUAAAGAGAGUGGAUUCGGGAGACUUGUGGGUUCUGACAUGCAGUAGUGAUGUAGUUGACACUCAAACUGUGUUGAAGGAGGAUAUGUUGCGCUUCUCUCUUUAUAUAAACAGCCUUCCUAGGGAUAUCCCAGAUGCUCUGUUCUUAAUGUAUUACGAGUACUUAAUUUAAUCAGAGAGACAUGAAGAAUGAUGCACAGAAAGUGAAAAAUGCUGACUGCCAACUGUACAGAGUCUGCAUAGCCCCGAGCGAGAGAGAAGAGCUCAGUCGCAGCCCAUUUGAAUGGAAGUGUGACUAGGCCUUUUGGACGGCCAGGCAGAACCGACCGGUUGAACUCCCAUUCAAACAGGUUCCAAUUGGCAGGUUCUGGAGUCCUAACAGAACCACCUUGUUGGAACCCUGUUCGAACAUGAUUUCCAACCGGCAGGUUUUGGAGUCCUGAGAAAGCCAAGCUAACCAUUUUGGCUGCACUCCCAUUCGAACGAGGUUGCAACCAGCAG